CCUACGGGCGUCAGCAGUAGGGAAUAUUGCUCAAUGGGGGAAACCCUGAAGCAGCAACGCCGCGUGGAGGAUGAAGGUUUUCGGAUUGUAAACUCCUUUUGUUAGAGAAGAUAAUGACGGUAUCUAACGAAUAAGCACCGGCUAACUCCGUGCCAGUAGCCGCGGUAAUACGGAGGGUGCAAGCGUUACUCGGAAUCACUGGGCGUAAAGAGCGCGUAGGCGGGAUAGCAAGUCAGAUGUGAAAUCCUAGGGCUUAACCAUAGAACUGCAUUUGAAACUGUUAUUCUAGAGUAUGGGAGAGGUAGGUGGAAUGCUUGGUGUAGGGGUAAAAUCCGUAGAGAUCAAGAGGAAUACUCAUUGCGAAGGCGACCUGCUAGAACAUAACUGACGCUGAUGCGCGAAAGCGUGGGGAGCAAACAGGAUUAGAUACCCCAGUAGUC
rnacentral:rRNA from 1 species